AUAAGGUUUUUGAAGUAAUCAACAGCAACAACAAAAAUAUAUAUAUGCUGCAUUCUCAAGAGGAAAUGCUUGCUCUGCUUUCUCUCUUUCCCCCUUCAUGAUGGCUGGAAUAAAGACAUGGUGAGAAGCCAGGCUGGGCAUGUAGAUGAACACAUACUACCAAGACCGUGGAACAGUGAGUCAGAGGGACUGUGUCCCUUGAUUAUCAUGUACAGUGGAACCAUUUGGCUGUGUUGGGCCACCUCCCACUUCUGGAUUCUGAGGGUGUGGUCUUCAUGUGCAUAGUUGCAGCUGGUUACCACUUUCACAAUGCAGCCUAUGUGAGUGUGGGAAGAGAGAAAGUCCAGGACAAGUGAAUUCUUUUUAAGCAGGCAAGGGAAACAAAAGCAAAAAUGAAAACAUGGGACUACAUCAAACUGAAAAGCUGUGUAUGGCAAAGAACACCAUCAACAGAACAAAAAGGCAUCCUACGGAAUGGGAGAAUAUAUUUGUAAAUGACAUAUCCAA